rnacentral:rRNA from 1 species
GUGUCAGCAGCCGCGGUAAUACGUAGGUGGCAAGCGUUAUCCGAAAUUAUUGGGCGUAAAGCGCGCGCAGGUGGUUUCUUAAGUCUGAUGUGAAAGCCCACGGCUCAACCGUGGAGGGUCAUUGGAAGCUGGGAGACUUGAGUGCAGAAGAGGAAAGUGGAAUUCCAUGUGUAGCGGUGACAUGCGUGGAGAUAUGGAGACACACCAGUGGCGAAGGCGACUUUCUGGU